rnacentral:rRNA from 1 species
GAUGAACGCUGGCGGCGUGCCUAAUACAUGCAAGUCGAGCGAACAGACGAGGAGCUUGCUCCUCUGACGUUAGCGGCGGACGGGUGAGUAACACGUGGAUAACCUUCCUAUAAGACUGGGAUAACUUCGGGAAACCGGAGCUAAUACCGGAUAAUAUAUUGAACCGCAUGGUUCAAUAGUGAAAGACGGUUUUGCUGUCACUUAUAGAUGGAUCCGCGCCGCACUAGCUAGUUGGUAAGGUAACGGCUUACCAAGGCAACGAUGCGUAGCCGACCUGAGAGGGUGAUCGGCCACACUGGAACUGAGACACGGUCCAGACUCCUACGGGAGGCAGCAGUAGGGAAUCUUCCGCAAUGGGCGAAAGCCUGACGGAGCAACGCCGCGUGAGUGAUGAAGGUCUUCGGAUCGUAAAACUCUGUUAUUAGGGAAGAACAAAUGUGUAAGUAACUAUGCACGUCUUGACGGUACCUAAUCAGAAAGCCACGGCUAACUACGUG